GAGCUUAGGUUAGACAAACCGGGGGCCUUCAAAACCCCAAACAGGGCCACCCCCUAGC
rnacentral:tRNA from 1 species